UGUGACGAAUCAGCUUCACUUCUCUCAUUCUACCCAGGCUUCUCUCCCUCUCUCAAUGGCGGCGAAGAUGAACCUCACUCCACCCUCCGAUCAAAAAUCAAAUGCCGUCGUGACCACCGUCCUACCACCCCUAUCGUCUCAACCACUCUUCUUCUAAUUCUAAGAAAUACCUCCCUGAAUCUAAACCGAACCAAAACCCUAAUAUCUUUCAGAAAUAAAAUUAAACGAAAAAGGUGGGGAAAUGGAUACAUAAGCUUGGGGGAAAUAAUCAGAGGAGAACAUUCUACCGUACAACAUCAAUCAAAGGCGUACAAGAAGAUGAAUGAUGGAAGGUGCGAGACUUACCUGCCGGAGAGGCUCCGACGGCCUUUGAACCUUGACGACGGUGAUCAGGAAGCCGGAGACGAGGCUCAAAAGAAACUAAGGUGUUGGGUAAACGCGAAGAGCGGCGAAUGAAGCUCUUGUUUCCGGUUCAAGUUUGAUAUAUGAGGGCCAAACAAUGGAAAUGGAUAGGGAAAUCAUGAGGACGAAGAUGGAGACGAACUUGAGGGUUUAACGAACUCAGUCCCACAUUAGAUUUGUGAAUCUAGCAGCAGGGCAAAACAAUUGGUUCAAUGAUGAGGUUAUUUGGAGAACAAGCACAUGGUUUGAAGAAUGGAGGUGGAAGAAAUGAAGAGAAAUAGGUUUAGGAUAGGUGGUUAAAUGUAUAUCUUUGUAUAGAUUUUCUUGUAUUUCUUUGUAAUAGAAUUGUAUUUUUGUAAUGGAUUUGUAAUGGAUAUUUGAAAUGUUAUGGAAUGCAUUUUG